rnacentral:rRNA from 1 species
AACGAACGCUGGCGGCAGGCCUAACACAUGCAAGUCGAGCGCCCUUUCGGGGGAGCGGCGGACGGGUGAGUAACGCGUGGGAAUAUGCCCUUCUCUACGGAAUAGCCUCGGGAAACUGAGAGUAAUACCGUAUACGCCCUGUGGGGGUAAGAUUUAUCGGGGAAGGAUUAGCCCGCGUUGGAUUAGGUAGUUGGUAGGGUAAUGGCCCACCAAGCCGACGAUCCAUAGCUGGUUUGAGAGGAUGAUCAGCCACACUGGGACUGACACACGGCCCAGACUCCGGAGAAGGGGAGCAAGGGGGAACCAUGAACAAUGGGGGGAUCCCGAAUGCAGCCAGGCCGGGAAGGUGAUGAGGGCCUAAGGAUUAGAAGCAGCUUUAGACUGGGAGGUUAUGACGGGACCCAAAGAAGAAGGCCCGGCUAACUUCGUG